AUUGAACGCUGGCGGCAGGCCUAACACAUGCAAGUCGAGCGGAGCAGCGGACGGGGGAGUAAUGCCUAGGAAUCUGCCUGGUAGUGGGGGAUAACGUCCGGAAAUGGGCGCUAAUACUGCUUACUAUCAGUUGAGGCUAGGUCGGAUUAGCUAGUGGGUGGGGUAAAGGCCUACCAAGGCGACGAUCCGUAACUGGUCUGAGAGGAUGAUCAGUCACACUGGGACUGAGACACGGCCCAGACUCCUACGGGAGGCAGCAGUGGGGAAUAUUGGACAAUGGGCGAAAGCCUGAUCCAGCCAUGCCGCGUGUGUGAAGAAGGUCUUCGGGUUGUAAAGCACUUUAAGUGGGGAGGCGUUACCCACAGAAGAAGCACCGGCUAACUUCGUGCCAGCAGCCGCGGUAAUUC
rnacentral:rRNA from 1 species